AUGCUGGGAGUCACAUUGUUAUGCAUGCUAGCAAACAUUAGGAUUGGAAUCUUACCCUGUAGGUUAUUAAUAUCUUUUCCACUAACCGAGAUUCAGCAAUUUAAUUCGUAUGGUCGCACAAGCAGUUUUGUUUUUGGAUUUGUCUUGACAAACNNNNNNNNNNUGUGCAUGCUUUUUGUUUUUGCUGCGCAUUUUUUCGAUUUAUCUUUGAUGCGCAUUUUUAGUUUUAAUUGUUGUUUACCUUCAGCCGACCUAAUUGAGCUAUCGGAGGUGUUGCGGUCUUUUAGCAAACAUGCCCUAUAUUCUAUGGUUUGGCAUCUACAGGAUGCCAUCUCUGGUCAUGGAUCCACUAUGGCUGCUUCGUCCUUCACUUAG
rnacentral:rRNA from 1 species